UACGUAGGGACCUAGCGUUGUCCGGAAUCAUUGGGCGUAAAGCGCGUGUAGGCGGCUUGCCAAGUCCGGUGUGAAAUCUCGGGGCUUAACCCCGGAACUGCACUGGAAACUGGCUUGCUUGAGUCCGGAAGAGGAGAUUGGAAUUCCUGGUGUAGCGGUGAAAUGCGCAGAUAUCAGGAAGAACACCCGUGGCGAAGGCGGAUCUCUGGGACGGUACUGACGCUGAGACGCGAAAGCGUGGGGAG
rnacentral:rRNA from 1 species